UCGAGAAUCAUUCGCAAUGGGGGAAACCCUGACGGUGCGACGCCGCGUGGAGGAUGAAGGCCCUCGGGUCGUAAACUCCUGUCACCAUAGAACAAGGCUCAGAGGUUAAUACCCGCCUGAGUUUGAUGGUAUAUGGAGAGGAAGCAACGGCUAACUCUGUGCCAGCAGCCGCGGUAAUACAGAGGUUGCAAGCGUUGUUCGGAUUUACUGGGCGUAAAGGGUCCGUAGGAGGCUGGGAAAGUCGGGCGUGAAAUCCUGAAGCUUAACUUCAGAACUGCACUCGAUACUACUUGGCUAGAGGAUCGGAGGGGUAAGCGGAAUUCUCGGUGUAGCGGUGAAAUGCGUAGAUAUCGAGAGGAACACCAAUAGCGAAAGCAGCUUACUGGACGAAUCCUGACUCUGAGGGACGAAGGCUAGGGGAGCGAACGGGAUUAGAUACCCCCGUAGUCC
rnacentral:rRNA from 1 species